AGAGUUCGAUCCUGGCUCAGGAUGAACGCUGGCGGCGCGCCUAACACAUGCAAGUCGAACGGCACCCACCUUCGGGUGGAAGCGAGUGGCGAACGGCUGAGUAACACGUGGAGAACCUGCCCCCUCCCCCGGGAUAGCCGCCCGAAAGGACGGGUAAUACCGGAUACCCCGGGGUGCCGCAUGGCACCCCGGCUAAAGCCCCGACGGGAGGGGAUGGCUCCGCGGCCCAUCAGGUAGACGGCGGGGUGACGGCCCACCGUGCCGACAACGGGUAGCCGGGUUGAGAGACCGACCGGCCAGAUUGGGACUGAGACACGGCCCAGACUCCUACGGGAGGCAGCAGUGGGGAAUCUUGCGCAAUGGGGGGAACCCUGACGCAGCGACGCCGCGUGCGGGACGGAGGCCUUCGGGUCGUAAACCGCUUUCAGCAGGGAAGAGUCAAGACUGUACCUGCAGAAGAAGCCCCGGCUAACUACGUGCCAGCAGCCGCGGUAAUACGUAGGGGGCGAGCGUUAUCCGGAUUCAUUGGGCGUAAAGCGCGCGUAGGCGGCCCGGCAGGCCGGGGGUCGAAGCGGGGGGCUCAACCCCCCGAAGCCCCCGGAACCUCCGCGGCUUGGGUCCGGUAGGGGAGGGUGGAACACCCGGUGUAGCGGUGGAAUGCGCAGAUAUCGGGUGGAACACCGGUGGCGAAGGCGGCCCUCUGGGCCGAGACCGACGCUGAGGCGCGAAAGCUGGGGGAGCGAACAGGAUUAGAUACCCUGGUAGUCCCAGCCGUAAACGAUGGACGCUAGGUGUGGGGGGACGAUCCCCCCGUGCCGCAGCCAACGCAUUAAGCGUCCCGCCUGGGGAGUACGGCCGCAAGGCUAAAACUCAAAGGAAUUGACGGGGGCCCGCACAAGCAGCGGAGCAUGUGGUUUAAUUCGACGCAACGCGAAGAACCUUACCAGGUCUUGACAUCCACUUAAACUUACAGAGAUGUAAGGUGUGCUUGCACAAAGUGAGACAGGUGGUGCAUGGUUGUCGUCAGCUCGUGUCGUGAGAUGUUGGGUUAAGU
rnacentral:rRNA from 1 species